rnacentral:rRNA from 1 species
UACGUAGGUGACAAGCGUUGUCCGGAUUUACUGGGCGUAAAGAGCGCGCAGGCGGUCGUUCAAGUCGCGUGUGAAAGCCCCCGGCUCAACUGGGGAGGGUCACGCGAUACUGAUCGACUCGAAGGCAGGAGAGGGAAGUGGAAUUCCCGGUGUAGUGGUGAAAUGCGUAGAUAUGUGGAGGAACACCGAUGGCGAAGGCAGCCCCCUGGGUCAAGAUUGACGCUCAUGCACGAAAGCGUGGGGAGCAAACAGG